UGCGCAGGCGGCACGUUAAGUCAAUUGUUAAAUUCCCCAGCCUAACUGGGGCUCAGCAAUAGAAACUGGCGCGCUAGAGGGUGGAAGAGAGAAGUGGAAUUCUCGGAGUAGCGGUAAAAUGCGUAGAUCUCGAGAGGAACACCGAUGGCGAAGGCAGCUUCUUGGUCCAUUUCUGACGCUCAUGCACGAAAGCGUGGGAGCAAACA
rnacentral:rRNA from 1 species